rnacentral:lncRNA from 1 species
CCAAAGUGCGUGAGGUGAUCAGUACAAGGGAGACUAAGGAAAGGUUGAGGAUUUGGGGAAAAAAACAGUUUAUUGAAAAGCCACACCCAGAAAAAGUUGCAACAGGUCAUGAGUUUAUCGAAACAUUCUGAACGGGAGGAAGAAACGAACUUUGUUAAAACUACCUCUAAGUGAAAUCGAGGAAAGUGUGGCAAUACAGCAAAAAUUCAAUGAAGAAAAUGAUGCUAAUUAAAGUAAAAAAAAUAGCAAUUAAGUUUAGCAAUAAAGUUACGCAUUAUAAGUAAUGUGUAAGGUCAAUUUUGCAUUUCAAUGUAGCCUGUCUAGAGGAAAGGUUAUGUUAAGCGGUAGCUCAGGAAAUGAAAACCUUCCAGCCUCUUUGACCUUGAAGCCUCUACAUAGUUUCCAGGAGAGAGGCAGACCAACUAUGCCAGAUGCCAUUUCACAGGAGGCAAGGGCAUGAAGACCAUUCUACUUCCUAGGAUGCUUGGAGUAGGGUGAUUAAGUAGAAAUUACUACUAAAAGUGGUGUGCCAAGUUUUUCUCUGAUGUGCUGCCAGGGAAGGGGUGGUGAUUCCUGAGAGGAGAUAGGUGGGGGGGAGUGUAUGCCCUGAUCUGUGCUAAUUCCUAAUUCUUGUAAAUAUCAGUUGGGAUGGGGCACUGUGCACUGACCAUCAAUUCCUCAAACAAAGAGCUUAUGGCAGCUUUCAAAAGAACAAAUUUUCUUACCUUUUCAGACUAUUCUCUUUUUUUUACUGUAAAAAGAGAGUUGAAUUAGAUAAUUUAUGACAUCUUCCUAAUUUAAUGUUUUCCUAGUUAAUGUUGGGUUUGACUCUUCUAUGAAUACUCUCUGACCCACUGAAACUUGACUUUCAUACUAUUUCUUGAACAAGAUACUCCGUCUCUCAACUCUGUAUAUUUUUACUUGCUGUCUUCCAUGCCUUGAAUGUCUUACCUUCUUCUGGCUUCUUUGGCUUCCUUCAAGUUUCAGUUAAAAUCCUAUAUUCAAGAAACCUUUCCCAAUCUCCUUUAAUGCUAGUGCCUUUUUCUCUGAAGUUUUCUCCGGUUUGUAUUCUAUAUAUCAUGUUUGUACAAAGUCAUUUGCAUGUUGUCUCCCUAUUAGAUUAUGAGCUCUUUGAUAAUUGGGAUUCCUUUUUUUUUUGCCUUUUCCCCAGUAUUUAGCACAGUGCUUAAUAAAUGCUUAUUAUUAUUUUAAAAACUUUUUUGU